AUUGAACGCUGGCGGCAUGCCUUACACAUGCAAGUCGAACGGUAACAGGUCUUCGGAUGCUGACGAGUGGCGAACGGGUGAGUAAUGCAUCGGAACGUGCCCAGUUGUGGGGGAUAACUGCUCGAAAGAGCAGCUAAUACCGCAUACGACCUGAGGGUGAAAGCGGGGGAUCGCAAGACCUCGCGCAAUUGGAGCGGCCGAUGUCAGAUUAGGUAGUUGGUGGGGUAAAGGCCUACCAAGCCGACGAUCUGUAGUUGGUCUGAGAGGACGACCAGCCACACUGGGACUGAGACACGGCCCAGACUCCUACGGGAGGCAGCAGUGGGGAAUUUUGGACAAUGGGCGCAAGCCUGAUCCAGCAAUGCCACGUGCAGGAAGAAGGCCUUCGGGUUGUAAACUGCUUUUGUCAGGGAAGAAAUCCUCUGGGUUAAUACCCCGGGGGGAUGACGGUACCUGAAGAAUAAGCACCGGCUAACUACGUGCCAGCAGCCGCGGUAAGAC
rnacentral:rRNA from 1 species